GACUCAAGCUAGCGAACAAUUGUAGCGAACAAUUAGCUAGCGAACAAUUAGGAGGUAUAACUAAAAACCACAAUAUCACAUAAGUAUAUCACGUUUUUUCGAGCUAGCGAACAAUUAUGAGAAUACAUACAAUCUUAAACAAAAACGAAAAAACUAACUUAAAACAAAAGGGAAACCAUACUUCAUAUAUAAAGAAUACAAAGCUUUUCUUUCCUAACUAAAUAAAUCCACAUAAGGCAUUCAAUAGACAGCUGGAUUACAAUGACCAUAAGUUAACACAUUGACACAAUUCAUUUUUAGGGAAUGGGGGUGCACUUUACGUUGUUUGGUCCGAUUAAUAGAGAUUGUGACAGGUUACGACUAUAUAGGUGUUUAAGAGGAGAAAGUGCCGCAUCGUUUAGGAAAAUCUCCAGAGUGGUUUAUGUUCGAAAAUCUUAAAUUGUGGUAGAAAAAAACUGAAAUUAACAAAAUGAAAUUAUGGUAUAGGACAUUUUAAGUUAUUUUUUGACCAAUUUGACUAGAUUUUUACAGGCAACGACUAUAUAGGUGUUUUAGAGGAGACAUUUCCGCAUCGUUUAGGAAAAUCUCCAGAGUGGUUUAUGUUCGAAAAUCUGAAGUUACGGUUAAAAAACUGAAAUUGUGAAAUUUACAAAAUGAGAUUAGGGGGAUAGGCCAAUUUAAGUUAAUUUUGGACCAAUUUCAAGAGAUUGUGACGGGCAACGACUAUAUAGGUGUUGUAGAGGAGACAUUGGCGCAUCGUUUAAGAAAAUCUCCAGAGUGGUUUAUGUUCGAAAAUCUGAAGUUACGGUUAAAAAACUGAAAAUUUUAUUGUGAAAUUGACAAAAUGAGAUUAGGGGGGUAGGGCACUAAAAGAAAAAUUUGGACCAUUUUAAAGAGAUUGUGAAGGGCAAGGACUAUAUAGAUGUUGUAGAGGAGACAUUGGCGCAUCGUUUAAGAAAAUCUCCAGAGUGGUUUAUGUUCGAAAAUCUGAAGUUACGGUUAAAAAACUGAAAUUGUGAAAUUGACAAAAUGAGAUUAGGCCAAUUUAAGUUAAUUUUGGACCAAUUUCAAGAGAUUGUGACGGGCAACGACUAUAAAGGUGUUGUAGAGGAGACAUUGGCGCAUCGUUUAAGAAAAUAUCUAGAGUGGUUUAUGUUCGAAAAUCUGAAGUUACGGUUAAAAAAUUGAAAUUGUGAAAUUGACAAAAUGAGAUUAGGGGGGUAGGGCACUACAGAAAAAUUUGGACCAUUUUAAAGAGAUUGUGACGGGCAACGACUAUAUAGGUGUUGUAGAAGAGACAUUGGCGCAUCGUUUAAGAAAAUCUCCAGAGUGGUUUAUGUUCGAAAAUCUGAAGUUACGGUUAAAAAACUGAAAACUUUAUUGUGAAAUUGACAAAAUGAGAUUAGGGGGGGUAGGGCACUAAAAGAAAAAAAUAGACCAUUUUAAAGAGAUUGUGACCGGCAACGACUAUAUAGGUGUUGUAGAGGAGACAUUGGCGCAUCGUUUAAGAAAAUCUCCAGAGUGGUUUAUGUUCGAAAAUCUGAAGUUACGGUUAAAAAACUGAAAUUGUGAAAUUGACAAAAUGAGAUUAGGCCAAUUUAAGUUAAUUUUGGACCAAUUUCAAGAGAUUGUGACGGGCAACGACUAUAUAGGUGUUGUAGAGGAGACAUUGGCGCAUCGUUUAAGAAAAUCUCCAGAGUGGUUUAUGUUCGAAAAUCUGAAGUUACGGUUAAAAAACUGAAAUUGUGAAAUUGACAAAAUGAGAUUAGGGGGGUAGGCCAAUUUAAGUUAAUUUUGGACCAAUUUCAAGAGAUUGUGACGGGCAACGACUAUAUAGGUGUUGUAGAAGAGACAUUGGCGCAUCGUUUAAGAAAAUCUCCAGAGUGGUUUAUGUUCGAAAAUCUGAAGUUACGGUUAAAAAACUGAAAACUUUAUUGUGAAAUUGACAAAAUGAGAUUAGGGGGGGUAGGGCACUAAAAGAAAAAUUUAGACCAUUUUAAAGAGAUUGUGACGGGCAACGACUAUAUAGGUGUUGUAGAGGAGACAUUGGCGCAUCGUUUAAGAAAAUCUCCAGAGUGGUUUAUGUUCGAAAAUCUGAAGUUACGGUUAAAAAACUGAAAUUGUGAAAUUGACAAAAUGAGAUUAGGCCAAUUUAAGUUAAUUUUGGACCAAUUUCAAGAGAUUGUGACGGGCAACGACUAUAUAGGUGUUGUAGAGGAGACAUUGGCGCAUGGUUAAAGAAAAUCUCCAGAGUGGUUUAUGUUCGAAAAUCUGAAGUUACGGUUAAAAAACUGAAAUUGUGAAAUUGACAAAAUGAGAUUAGGGGGGUAGGCCAAUUUAAGUUAAUUUUGGACAAAUUUCAAGAGAUUGUGACGGGCAACGACUAUAUAGGUGUUGUAGAGGAGACAUUGGCGCAUCGUUUAAGAAAAUCUCCAGAGUGGUUUAUGUUCGAAAAUCUGAAGUUACGGUUAAAAAACUGAAAUUGUGAAAUUGACAAAAUGAGAUUAGGCCAAUUUAAGUUAAUUUUGGACCAAUUUCAAGAGAUUGUGACGGGCAACGACUAUAUAGGUGUUGUAGAGGAGACAUUGGCGCAUCGUUUAAGAAAAUCUCCUGAGUGGUUUAUGUUCGAAAAUCUGAAGUUACGGUUAAAAAACUGAAAUUGUGAAAUUGACAAAAUGAGAUUAGGGGGGUAGGGCACUAACAGAAAAAUUUGGACCAUUUUAAAGAGAUUGUGACAGGCAACGACUAUAUAGGUGUUGUAGAGGAGACAUUGGCGCAUCGUUUAAGAAAAUCUCCAGAGUGGUUUAUGUUCGAAAAUCUGAAGUUACGGUUAAAAAACUGAAAAUUUUAUAAUUGACAAAAUGAGAUUAGGGGGGUAGGCCAAUUUAAGUUAAUUUUGGACCAAUUUCAAGAGAUUUUACCGGGAACGACUAUAUAGGUGUUUUAGAGGAGACAUUGGCGCAUCGUUUAAGAAAAUCUCCAGAGUGGUUUAUGUUCGAAAAUCUGAAGUUACGGUUAAAAAACUUUAUUGUGAAAUUGACAAAAUGAGAUUAGGAGGGUAGGGCACUAACAGAAAAAUUUGGACCAAUUUAAAAUAUUGUG